GCAACCUGCCCUCCACUUCGGGAUAAGCCUUGGAAACGGGGUCUAAUACCGGAUAUGAGCUCGCAUCGCAUGGUGUGGGUUGGAAAGUUUUUCGGUGGGGGAUGGGCUCGCGGCCUAUCAGCUUGUUGGUGGGGUGAUGGCCUACCAAGGCGUCGACGGGUAGCCGGCCUGAGAGGGCGACCGGCCACACUGGGACUGAGACACGGCCCAGACUCCUACGGGAGGCAGCAGUGGGGAAUAUUGCACAAUGGGCGCAAGCCUGAUGCAGCGACGCCGCGUGAGGGAUGACGGCCUUCGGGUUGUAAACCUCUUUCAGCAGGGAAGAAGCGCAAGUGACGGUACCUGCAGAAGAAGCGCCGGCUAACUACGUGCCAGCAGCCGCGGUAAUACGUAGGGCGCAAGCGUUGUCCGGAAUUAUUGGGCGUAAAGAGCUCGUAGGCGGUCUGUCGCGUCUGGUGUGAAAUCCCGAGGCUCAACCUCGGGCUUGCAUCGGGUACGGGCAGACUAGAGUGCGGUAGGGGAGACUGGAAUUCCUGGUGUAGCGGUGGAAUGCGCAGAUAUCAGGAGGAACACCGAUGGCGAAGGCAGGUCUCUGGGCCGCAACUGACGCUGAGGAGCGAAAGCAUGGGGAGCGAACAGGAUUAGAUACCCUGGUAGUCCAUGCCGUAAACGUUGGGCACUAGGUGUGGGGCUCAUUCCACGAGUUCCGUGCCGCAGCUAACGCAUUAAGUGCCCCGCCUGGGGAGUACGGCCGCAAGGCUAAAACUCAAAGGAAUUGACGGGGGCCCGCACAAGCGGCGGAGCAUGCGGAUUAAUUCGAUGCAACGCGAAGAACCUUACCAAGGCUUGACAUGUACGAGAAAGCCCCCGAGACGGGGUUCUCUUUGGACACUCGUACACAGGUGGUGCAUGGUUGUCGUCAGCUCGUGUCGUGAGAUGUUGGGUUAAGUCCCGCAACGAGCGCAACCCUCGUCCUAUGUUGCCAGCGGGUUAUGCCGGGGACUCAUGGGAGACUGCCGGGGUCAACUCGGAGGAAGGUGGGGAUGACGUCAAAUCAUCAUGCCCCUUAUGUCUUGGGCUUCACGCAUGCUACAAUGGCCGGUACAGAGGGCUGCGAUACCGUAAGGUGGAGCGAAUCCCAAAAAGCCGGUCUCAGUUCGGAUUGGGGUCUGCAACUCGACCCCAUGAAGUCGGAGUCGCUAGUAAUCGCAGAUCAGCAACGCUGCGGUGAAUACGUUCCCGGGCCUUGUACAC
rnacentral:rRNA from 1 species